UUUAUGACCAACAUGGGCAGAGAAUAGUUACUUCUGUUUAUAAAACAUUAUUAUUUCAUCAAAUGGAAAAAUGUUAGUUGUCAUAAAGUGAAGUGUGUUAGAUGAUCAGUCUGUUUUUAAACUGCUGAAAAUAUCAUUGUUCAUGACUGAACAGAAAACUGAGUGGAAACAAGUCACUGAASGAACUGAUGUCAGACACAAAGCAGAAAUGAAGGUGUUGCCRUGAAAAGAUAUUUCUGGUCAUUUUAAUAUUAAAGUUUGUUCCUCUUCUUUAAGUCACUUCUUCAUGUGUUGAAAUUAAGGUUGAACWCAGUUUGGAGGAAGAUAAUUUCUCUGCAGACUUCAUGAGCACAUAAAACUAUUAAACUUCCUCCUGACAAGAUGUGUGGAGCUCUGACUUUACUUCUCAUCACCUGUUUGCUGCAGGGUUCUCGGUGUCAAGCCUACAAUGUCUCUUUGCUGCAGAAUGUAGACGUUAUAAUUGGAUCCUGUGUGACCGUCCCUUGCUCGUUUCAGGUGGAAAGUGAAGAAAAAUUAAGUGACCAAUGUAAAGCAAUAUGGCAUCUAAAGUCAACCAAAGCUCCUAAACUAACUGAAACAAAUCCACUAACAGGAAACCUAGCAAAGAAAAACUGCACCACCACCUUCAGCAAUGUGCAGCAUAAACACAAAAACAAAUAUUAUUUCAGACUGGAAUGUCCUGGAGACCUAAAAUUUAGUUUUAAGGAUUCGAAUGUGAAUAUUAACGUCACAAGUAAGUUUUAUUACCAUUUAAAAAAAUUUAAAAGUGAAAAAAAAAACAUGAAGCAAUUAAAACUGGGCAGUCUGUUAUAUUGCUUUUAACAAGUUUAUUAAAUAAAAAAAAUAAAGUUGAACUUUUCUCCCAGAUGCUCCUCCAUCACCAACUCUGACUCCGCCCACACUGAAGGUGAAGGAGGGAGACUCGGUGAGUCUGAAGUGCUCGGCUCCAGCUCCCUGUCUGCCUCAUCCUCCAACUCUGACAUGGACCCCCAGAGUGGGGGACAGUCACGAGACCCUACAGAAAAAUCAGGACCAAACUCACGUUAGGACCUCUGUUCUGAGCUUCACUGCUUCUGUCCACCAUCAUGGACAGAA